GUGUAUGGCCCUUUAAGACUGUCGGUGGGCAUAUUGGGGCUUAUGGACUCUUUAUGUGACUGGUGCUGGCCCUUUAAACACCUUUUUUGGGACAUCAGGAAGAUUGGGACACUGCCCCUUUAAGGUCGUGUCCCCAGACUUGUUUGGGACACGGCCCCUUUAAGACGGUGUCCCCUGUGUCCCCAGACCUGGUGCAAACCCUUUGUGCCUGCCUUGCUAUUUCCCACUUGGUUCAGUAAAUGGGAAAUUAUUUCAGCUGCAGAGACUAAG